rnacentral:rRNA from 1 species
UACAGAGGGUGCGAGCGUUAAUCGGAAUUACUGGGCGUAAAGCGCGCGUAGGCGGCUUUGCAAGUCGGGUGUGAAAUCCCCAGGCUUAACCUGGGAACUGCAUUCGAGACUGCAUAGCUAGAGUAUCGGAGAGGUCGAUGGAAUUCCAGGUGUAGCGGUGAAAUGCGUAGAUAUCUGGAAGAACACCAGUAGCGAAGGCGGUCGACUGGCCCGUAACUGACGCUCAGGCACGAAAGCGUGGGUAGCGAACAGG